rnacentral:rRNA from 1 species
AACGAACGCUGGCGGCAUGCUUAACACAUGCAAGUCGAACGCCCCGCAAGGGGAGUGGCUGACGUGUGGGUAGCGCGUGGGAACAUACCCUUUUCUACGGAAUAUCUCUAUGAAACUGGAAUUAAUACCGUAUACGCCCUACGGUGGAAAGAUUUAUCUGGGAAGGAUUGGCCCGCGUUGGAUUAGCUAGUUGGUGGGGUAAAGGCCUACCAAGGCGACGAUCCAUAGAUGGUCUGAGAGGAUGAUCAGCCACAUUGGGACUGAGACACGGCCCAAACUCCUACGGGAGGCAGCAGUGGGGAAUAUUGGACAAUGGGCGCAAGCAUGAUCCAGCCAUGCCGCGUGAGUGAUGAAGGCAUUAGGGUUGUAAAGCUCUUUCAACGAUGAAGAUAAUGACGGUAGUCGGACAAGAAGCCCCGGCUAACUUCGUG